GGCCGGCAGGGGGCAGCGCUGCCCCGGGCAGCCCCGCCGAGCCGCCCCGAGCCGGGCCGAAUGGUUCCGAGCUGGGCCGAGGCGGGCCGAACGGUUCCGAGCCGAGGCGGGCCUCACCGCGCCGAACCUCGGCGAGCCGUUCCGAGUCGUGCCCUGGGGCCGUUCCCGGCCCAACACUAGUAACCGGUUUUCCAGGCUGUGCUCCAGGCGCCUUGGACUAAAAGAAUUGCGAGCAAUACAAACAAGCAAAUCAAUUCAGAAAAAUAAAAGUUGACGUGAGCUUGCAUCCAAGAAGUCAGUUUCGUGGAGCUUGGUCUGUUGGGAGGAUUUUUUGAGAAGCAUCUCAAUAGCUGCUGGCUGGGUAGCUUCAGCACUGACCCCCCAACCCAGGCGAGGUUUGCUGCUCGUGGUGUUCCAGGAAUGACACAGGGGCUCCGGCUGGAGUCAGGCCAGGACAUUAGAUGAAACUGCUUUUGUGGCACUUCUGCUUUUUAUGGCUAGAGGACAGAUUUCCUGCUGUAUCUCUCUGCAGCAUUUGACUCAGUUGACCAUGAAGCCCUGCUGGCCCCUGCUGAGGAGGGGGGUUGCAGUCCGGUGAGAAUGGUUCAGCGGGGCAUACCUAGUUAGUAGAGAUGUGAACAUCCAUCCCUAUUGCUAACUGCUGUCCCACAGCAACCUAUGCUUUUCCCUUUUUGGUGACCCAAUUGAGUGGAAAGUCAUCAGUGUGGGAGACACUGCUGCAGCCCAGAACACUUUAAGAGCUCAAGACAGUCGUGCCAUCCCCUCCUCUCAAGUUUUAAGAGAAUACAUAGUAAAGUUCAAAGUCUCAGUCCUUGAAAGCCUUAAUAGCGUGCCUCAGAGUAUCUAAAAUGUCACAUUAUUGGUACUACCGUAAUUAUUAAGAGAGUCUUGCUGUUUUCUGCUGCAGCAAAAAGUUGGAUGGGAAAGAGGUGGCUCUCUGAUAACCUCCUCCAGUUGUUGUAAGCAUUGGUCAGUGUCUCUCGGAAGUGUGGAAAACACUUUCCUCACCUGGGACGGUUUACGCUUUCCUUACAGAGAUGCCCGGUGUCUGCAGGUUGCCUUGUAUUUCACACAAGUGGGGAAUGUUCACUGCCUCUGUCUGGAACAUCUGUCUCUCCCGACUCAAGCAAGAUAGCACUGUGUUUCACCAGCAGCAUCGGGACUGGCCUUACCACCUUUCUAUCCUACACAUCAGCCUCAAAGUGAUGGCAGGACCGCAUGGGUAUCUGUGCAGUGUAUCAUCUCACACACACACACACAUCCCCCACAUGCAUAAUGCUUAUCUUUAAUUUUGUGUACGUUUUAGCCAUGCACUUUCUAAAGAGGGUUAAAAAUGUCAAUUGAAUUCAGAAUAAAGAGGUGGAAAAAAGUGUUCUGAGGUACUCACAAGGCUGGUAGUACUAACAAGAGAGACAAUUCCUGGCUUUCUUUGGCACUGAAGUUAAUUGCAGGCAUCUAGGGUUUAAAGACCUUGUGUUAUUGAUGGGGGUGUGUUAGCAACAGGAGGCUCUAACACUAAACUGGAAUUUAGCAUGUACAGUAGGUUGUCAAGAGAAAGAAAUAAGAACAAUGGAGACUGUUAUUAUCUUUUAUUAUUAUCUUUUAAUUCCCCCCCAUUUUCUUUCUGCAUGUUCUCUCUCAGCCCUCUCUCUUUCAAUAAUUACAAUAAUCAACUUACAAUGAUAACAGAAAUAAUCUCCUGCAAGAUAGCUAAACAAACCAUGUUAUCUGUACUGAACUGUGCUCACUUACAGUAGGUAUAUCACUUAUUGAAAAGCUAAUAAAACUUUAAUUAAAAAAGCAUGUAGGUUGUCAGUUAAGAUGUAGAAAUGGUGUGCAAACACAUGCAAAGUGGUCCAUAAAUUGCUCGGUAUUUGAUAGAGUGGGUAGGAGGGCAAACCCACCCCAAACCAAACCAAACCAAACUAAACCCUCCAGGGUUGAGGCACUCUCUUUAUGUUGCUCUAUACAGAGCACUAAUUUCCUGGGAAUUCAAAAGCAGGGGGAGGGGAGAAUCCUCCCUUGAGCGACAAUCACAUCCACCCACCUCCAC